AUUGAACGCUGGCGGCAUGCUUUACACAUGCAAGUCGAACGGUAACAGGCCGCAAGGUGCUGACGAGUGGCGAACGGGUGAGUAAUGCAACGGAACGUGCCCAGUCGUGGGGGAUAACGCAGCGAAAGCUGUGCUAAUACCGCAUACGAUCUAUGGAUGAAAGCGGGGGACCGUAAGGCCUCGCGCGCUUGGAGCGGCCGAUGUCAGAUUAGGUAGUUGGUGGGGUAAAGGCCUACCAAGCCGACGAUCUGUAGCUGGUCUGAGAGGACGACCAGCCACACUGGGACUGAGACACGGCCCAGACUCCUACGGGAGGCAGCAGUGGGGAAUUUUGGACAAUGGGCGCAAGCCUGAUCCAGCAAUGCCGCGUGCAGGAAGAAGGCCUUCGGGUUGUAAACUGCUUUUGUACGGAACGAAACGGUCUGGGUUAAUACCCCGGGCUAAUGACGGUACCGUAAGAAUAAGCACCGGCUAACUACGUGCCAGCAGCCGCCGUAACAC
rnacentral:rRNA from 1 species